rnacentral:rRNA from 1 species
GUGGGGAAUCUUGCGCAAUGGUCGAAAGACUGACGCAGCCAUGCCGCGUGAAUGAUGAAGGUCUUAGGAUUGUAAAAUUCUUUUAGUAGGGACGAUAAUGACGGUACCUACAGAAAAAGCCCCGGCUAACUUCGUGCCAGCAGCCGCGGUAAUACGAAGGGGGCUAGCGUUGCUCGGAAUUACUGGGCGUAAAGGGAGCGUAGGCGGGUUGACAAGUUGGAGGUGAAAGCCCAGGGCUCAACCCUGGAAUUGCCUUCAAAACUGUCAGCCUUGAGUAUGGAAGAGGUAAGUGGAACUCCGAGUGUAGAGGUGAAAUUCGUAGAUAUUCGGAAGAACACCAGUGGCGAAGGCGACUUACUGGUCCAUGACUGACGCUGAGGCUCGAAAGCGUGGGGAGCAAACAGGAUUAGAAACCCUAGUAGUCC